UGGUCUUCUAUAUUUUCAUGCACACAUUCCCUUUCCAUGUCUAAUUGGCUGAUAUGACUUCAGCUAUUUCCUCUCUGCAUACAAUUUCCUAAGUGAGAUAUUUAGCUUUGGUUUAUUUUUAUGAACAGGACUACAGUCUUUGGGAACGACUAUAUUUUUAACUUUAAAUCAUAUGCUCAAAACCGCUUUCAGUUUAUUAUUUCUUGGAUUCUAAUAAUGCACUCUCUCUCGUACCUGGAAUAAGAAUUUCUAAUCGCUCACAUUGGCUGUUUCAGCUCUUCAGAUUUACACAGUUUGUUUUCUCAUUCAUUUAUUUGAAUUUGUACUAUGUUUUUCAAUUAUUUUAUCUUUCUCUUAUCAAUCAAAUGAUUCCAGCUGUGGUCUCACUGUUAUUUCCCAUGCUACAAAGAAGAAAGAGGGAUUUUAGUCAUCUAAGAGUCCAACAAGGGUGCACACACUCACUGACACCAGCUAUGUAAAAUGAGAAUGAGUCACAUUAUCCUGACCAUCAAAGUAUCAGGUGAGUAGGAUAAGGGAACAAAGCAUUUCCAUGUUGUUACUAUACAAUUACAGAUUAUAAUGCUAUGACAGUAUAUGCCCAUCACUUCUGUGUGAUAGUUAUUUUUGUGUUAACAUGACUAGGCAAUUAAAUGCAUAGGCAUUUUCAAACAUUAUUUUCUUGUGUAUCAGUGAGGAUGCUUCUGGAUACGACUAACAUUUGGAUCUGUGGACUGAAUACAACAAACUGUCCUCCCUGAUGUAGUGUGACUCACUGGAUCCACGGAAGGCAUAAAUCAAACAAAAGGCUGAGUAAAAAAAGAAUUGUUUCUUCCUGCCUGAUUGUCUUCAAACUGGGAUAUCCAUCUUCUCCUACAUUUGGACUCGAAGUAAAACAUUAACUCAUCCUGAACGUCCAGCCGUCUGGCCUUCAGACUGGAAAUACACCACUGGCUCUCCUGGAUCUCUAGCUUGUUAAUUGCAUAUUUUAUUACUUGUUGGCCUCCAGAAUCAUGUGUCAUUCAAUAAAUAAUAAUAUAUAAUAAAUUUAUCUGUCCAUUGAUAAAGACACAAUUAUGGAUUUAGAUAUAAAAUCUCUUCAUUUCUCUCUCUUUCUCUCUCUGAUUUGUCUGUUUCUUUGGAGAACCUGGACUAAUAUACAUUGUUGACACAUUGUAUAAAGCCACACAAAAUCUAAAACAAUGAAGAAGUGAAAUGUAAGACAUUAUUCAUAAUCACUGCCAUUAAAAGGCAAGGAGUGCUACCUGCAUUUGAUGGAUGCCAAUUCAUGAUUCAAUCUUUGCAGCCCGGAGAAAUGGUCACCGUUGGGUUAUCUGAAAACACAAUAAUAUGUGAUUAAAUUUUCAUGUACAUCAAAGAAUAGACAUUAUUGCUUCACAAA
rnacentral:lncRNA from 1 species